AUUGAACGCUGGCGGCAUGCUUUACACAUGCAAGUCGAACGGUAACAGGCCGCAAGGUGCUGACGAGUGGCGAACGGGUGAGUAAUGCAUCGGAACGUGCCCAGUCGUGGGGGAUAACGCAGCGAAAGCUGCGCUAAUACCGCAUACGAUCUAUGGAUGAAAGCGGGGGACCGUAAGGCCUCGCGCGAUUGGAGCGGCCGAUGUCAGAUUAGGUAGUUGGUGGGGUAAAGGCUCACCAAGCCAACGAUCUGUAGCUGGUCUGAGAGGACGACAGGGCACACUGGGACUGGGACACGGCCAAGACUCAUACGGGAGGCAGCAGUGGGGAAUUUUGGACAAUGGGCGCAAGCCUGAUCCAGCAAUGCCGCGUGCAGGAAGAAGGCCUUCGGGUUGUAAACUGCUUUUGUACGGAACGAAACGGUUCUGGUUAAUACCUGGGGCUAAUGACGGUACCGUAAGAAUAAGCACCGGCUAACUACGUGCCAGCAGCCGCCGUAACAC
rnacentral:rRNA from 1 species